rnacentral:tRNA from 1 species
CCUUUUAAGGGGUUACAGGAACCCAU